GACGUAGGGCGCGAGCGUGUCCGGAUUUAUUGGGCGUAAAGAGCUCGUAGGCGGCUUGUCGCGUCGAAUGUGAAAUCUCGGGGCUCAACUCCGAGCUUGCAUUCGAUACGGGCAGGCUAGAGUUCGGUAGGGGAGACUGGAAUUCCUGGUGUAGCGGUGAAAUGCGCAGAUAUCAGGAGGAACACCGGUGGCGAAGGCGGGUCUCUGGGCAGUAACUGACGCUGAGGAGCGAAAGCGUGGGGAGCGAACAGG
rnacentral:rRNA from 1 species